UGACCAAACAGCACAAGUCACCGCAACCCUUGUGGAUCAGAACAGAGCCACGCGACAACUUUUCUCCUCCAUCCCCUUCCUCACCGCACUCGUCCGGGACGGCGGCGGCGCUGCCUAGAAGCUGUUCCGGCGGCAUGUCUACCGAUGGCGCAAGCUAAACAGGGGCGUCGACGGAGCUGCGGUGUGGACCGCUCCAGUACUGCCACUGGAGUCUCAGGAUUCCAUGAGCGUGGUGAAUGUCGAGGGGGUCGCCGCCGGCAAGCCGCGCGCCGUGGGAGAGGCAGCCACAGAUGACGUUUGCUCUGAAGCGACAAGUGGGUGGACGCGAAGGUUAGUCAGGGAAACACCACUGCAAAUCAUUUUGUUUAGGAAAAAAUGCACGAUGAAUGGGUCGCUCAUGGACCAGUGAUUAGCAGCAUUGCAGCAAGUGUUGAUUUUUGGCCAUACUGGACCAAGACAUUUUGAUGGGUGGUUAGUUGUCCUUCAUUGGAUUUUUAGGGAAUCUGCCUGAUGGAUGGUUUACUAGUGAGAUGUUAUUAGGAGCAAGUAGUAUUUCUUUUAGCAAAUGGGUAUUUUGGAGAGAUUCGACAUGUUUGAUGACUAAUUAGGCACAUGUGGGGGGAAAGGGGUGCAAGCACAGGUGGGAUUGGUUUGUUUUGGCUGUUGUCUUGAUGGCAAAUUAUGUCGAUUUUUUGGUGUACACAUGCUUGUUAUUGUAGCAUGGGGGGCGGAUAACGCUGUGGGAGACAUAAUCUGUUUGAUUCCCUUGUUUGAUGCACUCCCGAUAGCAAUAUAGAUUAAGAGUUUGGGUUUAUAUGAGAUGGUUAUUGGAUCAGUCGUGUGUCGGCUUGGAUUUUAGUUUAAAUGUUUCAGCGGGAGUAUUGUUAUGGAGAUGGAUGCACAGCAUAAAUGUUCUGACGUGGGUAAAUAUAUAGGUGAAUCCUGGAGUUGGAAUUAGACGCUUCAUUUUAGCUGUGUUCCUGAGGAUUUUCAUAGUGCGCAUCCAUGGCUGUACCAAAAUGCACUCACUUGGGCUGUAGUACAUAUCUUUUUAUGUUCAUCUAAGUUGUUUCCGGGAUAGCUGAGCAUUUUCCUCCGUCAUUUUUUUGCCAAAUACUUCUUCUUCAGGGUUAGGAUUGGAAGGCGCCCGAGGAGAGGGAAAUGAACCCUGAUAGGAAAACAACACUUGAAUUGUCAGUGCGUGCUUAUGCAGAGACGAGGCAUGGGCCUGUUGUCAAUCCAGAAACCGGGACCGCUUUUGACUCGUUGGACGAAGCUUAUGAGUUCUACAAUCUAUAUUCGUGGGAAUGUGGUUUCGUUGUCAGGCUUGCAAAAAGCAGAAUGAAUGUUCGUCGGAAGAGAUGCAUGCAAGAAAUACUGUGCGCUUGUGCGGACAAACCAAUGAGGAAGAACAGUCGGUCUUCAAGGUGUGGGUGUGAAGCCAUGAUCAGACUGCUCCGUCCAAACUUCACUUGAAUUGUCCGUGCGUGCUUAUGCACAGAAAAGUCAUGGUCCUGUUGUCAAUCCAGCAAUUGGGCAAACCAAUGAGGGAAAACAGUCGCUCGUCAAGGUGUGGCUGCGAAGCAAUGAUCAGACUGAUUCAUUCAGGGAGAUGUCCCAGUAGUCUAAUGAUUUCUGUAACGGACUGUUUGUAUCAUCUAUUCCUCUGGCAAAAAUGUUAAUGACUUGUUCCCGGACAAAACCACCCAUUCUUUGUGUACUGUAAGUCAAUGGUUCAACUAAGGUUUUGGCUUGGUCGUUCGACUAAUUAA